GUCUGGGAAACUGCCUGAUGGAGGGGGAUAACUACUGGAAACGGUAGCUAAUACCGCAUAAUGUCGCAAGACCAAAGUGGGGGACCUCCGGGCCUCAUGCCAUCAGAUGUGCCCAGAUGGGAUUAGCUAGUAGGUGGGGUAAUGGCUCACCUAGGCGACGAUCCCUAGCUGGUCUGAGAGGAUGACCAGCCACACUGGAACUGAGACACGGUCCAG
rnacentral:rRNA from 1 species